CAAAGGCUCUCUUUCUUUCUCUCCUUUCAGUUGUGAGCAGCUGGGUUUGGGGGGAAAUUUCUCUUGGAUUUCAAGCAGAUUUUAGCAUAGAUUUGGACCUCAAGUUGUUGGAGCCUGUAAUCCGCCGCGCAGAUAGUUCCAGUCAGGUUGACCGGCACACCUGAAUUCGGAAUCCAGGUAAGAUUAGUAUAACAGUAUGCAUAUGUAGAUUACAUGUUUAGCGUACAUGUAGGAAGCCUGUUAGAUUACAUUAGAUAUGUAUGUUGGCUUCGAACCAUCCAACUGUGUCACAUCGGUACAGGCUGGAGUAUGAUCAGCAGCCGGAGUAUGACCGGUUCGACCGAUUAAGCUGACACUGUAUCACGCAGGUACAGGCUGGAGUAUGACCAGCAGCCGGAGUAUGACCGGUUCGACCGAUCAGGCUGAUACUUAGGUUGGUGGUUCCGUACUAUUUGACGUAUCACGUCGGUACAGGCUGGAGUAUGACCAGCAGCCCGGUAUGACCGGUUCGACCGAUCAGGCUAAUACUGUAACACGUCGGUACAGGCUGGAGUAUGACCAGCAGCCGGAGUAUGACCGGUUCGACUGAUCAGGCUUUUACUUGUCAAUAGUACCGUCCCUAUGAACGUUCAGAACUCAGUACCGUGUUGGACACGGCAGUAGGGGGACUCAGUAUCGUGUUGGACACGGCAGUUAGGGUUAUGGUCAGGGGUAUGGGCGUCUGAUCAUGACCGAGAUUUAUGUAUGAGUAUUAUUAUGCUUUUCUUACUGAGUCUGUCGACUCACAGUGCUAUGUUUAUGUGUAGGUAAAGGCAAGGCUAGAGCUGAUGGACCGUGAACGAGCCUAUGAAGAUUGUACAUGUCGGGGCGGUUAGGCCUGGAGCGUACGAUCAUCGGGAGAGUGAGGCUAUUUUUGUAACUAGUCGCUAGGCGACAAAUAUUUUGUAUAGACAGUAAACUUUUGUAAAUGGUUUUGUAAUCGGGAUCCCGAUUAUUUUGUAUAAA